AUUGAACGCUGGCGGCAGGCUUAACACAUGCAAGUCGAGCGGGGUGAUGGUGCUUGCACUAUCACCUAGCGGCGGACGGGUGAGUAAUGCUUAGGAAUCUGCCUAUUAGUGGGGGACAACAUUUCGAAAGGAAUGCUAAUACCGCAUACGUCCUACGGGAGAAAGCAGGGGAUCUUCGGACCUUGCGCUAAUAGAUGAGCCUAAGUCGGAUUAGCGAGUUGGUGGGGUAAAGGCCUACCAAGGCGACGAUCUGUAGCGGGUCUGAGAGGAUGAUCCGCCACACGGGGACUGAGACACGGCCCAGACUCCUACGGGAGGCAGCAGUGGGGAAUAUUGGACAAUGGGCGCAAGCCUGAUCCAGCCAUGCCGCGUGUGUGAAGAAGGCCUUAUGGUUGUGAAGCACUUUAAGCGAGGAGGAGGCUACUUUAGAUAAUACCUAGAGAUAGUGGACGUUACUCGCAGAAUAAGCACCGGCUAACUCUGUGCCAGCCGCCGCGGUAACAC
rnacentral:rRNA from 1 species